rnacentral:tRNA from 1 species
GGGAAGGUGGCUCAGUGGUAGAGCGCUUGCCUUGUAUGCAUGAGGCCCUGGGUUC